GUUGGUGAAUGCGCCCGCCGAUCACCCCCGAGAGCUGGAUGGACCGAGGGAUUUUGCCUGUGAUUUUAGGCAAAGCCGGCCCUGCCGCCCUCAGUUUACGCCAUACGGCCCCGCACUACUCGGUUAGUGUGGUCUCUGUCUGAUGCAUCCGUGACGUCGGUUAGAUGCGUGAACUCAAAGGCGACAUUGACGGUGCAAGCGCACAGGCCAGGACUCAGGGAGAUUUUCAACCAAAGUUUAAUCAUAAACCUUUUCGUCACUGA
rnacentral:lncRNA from 1 species